UUAUGUGGCAACUUGCUCUCCAUGUCGAGACUCGAAUGGUAGCUACAUGAUAUGGGGUCAUUCUACUGUGGUUGGACCAAUGGGUGAAAUUAUUGGAACCACAGGGCACGGCGAAACAGUUCUAAUUGCUGAGAUUGACUAUGCUAAGAUUCAACUUACAAGGGACAGCUUUCCCUUAGAGAAUCAAAGGCGCAAUGAUGUCUAUCGAUUUAUUGACUUGCAUCAAGAAAGUCCUUAAGGCUUUGAUAUAUGAUACAACAAUCUGGUCAUGUAAUAAGUUUGAAAUGUUAAUCAUUUUAAGGGAAUUAAUAGAUUUGCUUACUAGUAAAGGGGGAUC